rnacentral:rRNA from 1 species
CGGAGGAGCAUGUGGUUAAUUCGAUGAUACGCGAGGAACCUUACCUGGGCUCGAACGUAAGAUGACUGUAGGUGAAAGCUUACAUCUCUUCGGAGCAUUUUACGAGGUGCUGCAUGGUUGUCGUCAGCUCGUGCCGUGAGGUGUCGGGUUAAGUCCCAUAACGAGCGCAACCCCUACCUUUAGUUGCCAUCAGGUUAAGCUGGGGACUCUAAAGGAACUGCCUACGCAAGUAGUGAGGAAGGCGGGGAUGACGUCAAAUCAGCACGGCCCUUACGUCCAGGGCUACACACGUGCUACAAUGGCCGAUACAGAGGGCAGCUACCUGGUGACAGGAUGCAAAUCUCCAAAGUCGGUCUCAGUUCGGAUCGGAGUCUGCAACCCGACUCCGUGAAGUUGGAUUCGCUAGUAAUCGCGCAUCAGCCAUGGCGCGGUGAAUACGUUCCCGGGCCUU